ACGCUGCUCUGCUUUGGCCUCUCUGAGGUUGUUCAAGCCUGUGAAAAGGGAGGAAAGGGCUCCUGAAUUCCUCCUUUUGCAGGGAACAAUAGGAACAAGUCAUUUUCCAGUCUGUCCUGGGUAAGGGAAAGAGCAGAAUUGCUGAGAAAUGAAUUGUGAGGUGAAAGUCUCUAAUCUUUGCCUGUCAACCCACAUUCCUCCUGGCUCUAAGCAGGUCUUGAGGAAAGGAAUUCGGAUGCCUAAAGGUAAAGCAGCACAAUUAACUGCUUUACUUAACAUGCAAGUUUAUAAGUGAUCUCCAUGACACCCCUGACACGAAGAAAAUAAUGGGGUUAAACUGGCUCUCAUUACAAGCUGAUCUUUGUGCAGACUUUGGUUGGUAGAACUGGCAGAAGACGUGUAUUGCAGAAUUAAAAUUAAAAGUUAUGAGAACCAUCGCUACAUAAUGGUGAGAUCAGACGAGAAUGGGAGAAUCCACACAAGUCUUUAAUCUCCAUCAAGACAAGACAUUGUUUCUGCUUGGUUCUGCAGUUUAAAAUAAAUCCUUAAUGACACUGUCAUCGUCUCGUUUUGUGGUCUUCAUUUCCUCCUGAUUAUAAAUAAGAAUCAGGUUUCCCUUUAGCAGGACUGGGAGGCAGGGGAGUUCAAACUCUUCUGCUCACAGGGAGCAAGAGCUGCUGCUCUCACUGCAGUGUCAGAUCUUUG
rnacentral:lncRNA from 1 species